UAUAUGAAUACAUAUUAAUACUGCAAUUAAAUGUAAAUUGAGUCAUGGAAAGAGUGAUGAAAGAGAUUUUCAGAAAUGAGAAAUGACACAGCGGUUGUUGUGGUUUCCUGAAAACCAGAGUAUAUAAAAGAGAGACACUCAGGCUGUGUGACAGUGUGUGUGUGUGUGUGUGUGUGUGUGUGUGUGUGUGUGUGUGUGUGUGAGUGUGUGAUUCAUUUUGAGAAAUUGGUGUGUGUGUGUGUGUGUGUGUGUGUGUGCAGAAGAAUCAGUAAUGAUGAAGUGCUUGUAUCUUUUGUCUGUUGUGUUUCACGUCACUGCAGGCUGUGCUCUCUCUGGUGAUAAUCCGAGAGAAAUCACAACACACAAAGGUGGUUCAGUGAUUUUACCCUGCUCCUGCUCUGACCUGCACACCAAACCUCAGAGAUUCACCUGGAUGAGCGACAGAACAGGAAAUUUAAAAGAACUGUUAAAUGAUGAACACUACCUUGACAGACUUCAGCUGUUUAAUCACAUUUCUCCUGCAAAUCUGUCUCUGCUCAUAUCUGACCUGAGAGAAGAGGAUCAUUGAGUCUACAGGUGCAGCACUGAGAAGGAACACAGAGACAUCAGGGUGUAUGUUAAAGGCUGUGAGCUGCUGAAGAAGACAGGGUUAGAGGACAUGACUGUGUUCACAGGAGAGUCUGUAGUUCUGCCCUGUGUCUGCACUGACCUACAGGACAAACCAAAUUCUGUAAAAUGGGAGUUUUCAAUACCAGCAACUCGAAUCAAUCACUUUCAGGAAAUUUACCCUGAACAGACUGGACGUCACAGAAACAGAGUCAAACUGGUCAGUAACAACGCUCCAGGAAACCUCUCUCUACUCAUAUCAGACCUGACUGAAGAGGACCAGGGACUCUACAGAUGUUCUGUACAGGACGAUAGCAGAGAUGUCAGAUUAUAUGUUAAAGUAGGAAGAAGAGAAACUUCAUCAGAACCGCCUCAGAGUAAAACAACAAACUCUAUACCUGCAUCAACCUCAACAACACUGGAACAAGAUAAACAGCAAACACACAGCAGCCUCCCUCUAGGUGCCAAAACUUUUCAUCAGCAAUGAAAAUACACAUCUGUAUUAUUACAUUUAUUACCAUUUUGGUGUGUUUUAUUACACAGUUUUCAGCAUUCUGGUUUUAUU